rnacentral:rRNA from 1 species
UGGGGAAUAUUGGACAAUGGGGGGAACCCGUCGAUCCAGCCAUGCCGCGUGUGUGAAGAAGGCCUUUGGUUGUAAAGCACUUUAAGCGAGGAGGAGGAGCUUCAGGUUAAUACCCUGGAUGCUUGGACGUUACUCGCAGAAUAAGCACCGGCUAACUCUGUGCCAG